rnacentral:rRNA from 1 species
GACGAACGCUGGCGGCGUGCCUAACACAUGCAAGUCGAGCGGAGUCAGUAAGAAGAAGUUUUCGGAUGGAAUCUUAUUGAUUUAGCGGCGGACGGGUGAGUAACGUGUGAGCGACCAACCUUGCACAGGGGGAUAACGGACCGAAAGGUUCACUAAUACCGCAUAAGACCACGGUGUUGCAUGACACAGAGGUCAAAGGAGCAAUCCGGUGCAAGACGGGCUCGCGUCCGAUUAGGUAGUUGGAGGGGUAACGGCCCACCAAGCCUAUGAUCGGUAGCCGACCUGAGAGGGUGAUCGGCCACAUUGGAACUGAGAUACGGUCCAAACUCCUACGGGAGGCAGCAGUAGGGAAUCUUCCGCAAUGGGCGAAAGCCUGACGGAGCAACGCCGCGUGAGUGAUGAAGGUCUUCGGAUCGUAAAACUCUGUUGUUAGGGAAGAACAAAUUUGUUAGUAACUGAACAAGUCUUGACGGUACCUAACCAGAAAGCCACGGCUAACUACGUGCCAGCCGCCGCAGUAA